UGCAUAUCCUGGCAGAAAUUUUAAAAUUUUUGCAUUGAUUUUGAAAAUAUGACUAUUUCAUUGAGGAAUAGUGAUCAUAUGAAGCCAUUUAUUAUCACAAAGUUGUUUGGAUUCUUUUUUUGUUCCAGCGGACACUCGUCCAACAUGGACUGUCACAAACAUUAAUCCCUUUGUGCCAAGAUGCGCAAGAUCAAGACCACCCGACUUGCCCACAUGAACCAGCAAUCACUGCUGCCUGAGAUACCACUCAUGUUCUGCUUGUUUCUGUUUUAUUUCACUAAUGUUCCAGUUUGCCUUAAAUUUUUUGCUUGAUUUGUCUUUAACAAUGACCACUACUUCUCCUCUGGCUCCAUAAGCCGACAGCAAGUCACCAUGCCCAGUUUUUACCUCCCCUCCCCAUGUAUCUCUAUGUGCCCCUCUUCUCUGCCACCGCACGAGCACUAUACUGCACAUAUACCAGCCGGCCUAGUCGGCACUACAAUUUCCAGGUUGAACGCCACAGGAGGUUUGGCUAUUACCAAACCUUACACCACACUUUAUAUUUCACCUCCAUGCGCCUUAAGCACAUUUACCCUCCGUCAUGACCGUUAAUAAUAUCAGUUAAUGUGGGCGCGAGCGCUAUUAGCUAGCAACCUCCAGUCCAUAGUUUUGAGGAAUC